UGUAGAACGUUUCUGUAAAAGGGUUGGAUCCGAUGCCUCUAGGAGGCCUAGGCUCUGUGCUCCUACUAGGCUCCUACUCAAUACGUCCACGACGUACAGAACGGUAACUUGUCGCCUAGAUAUCCUAGCAGGGUACACGGGGAACCCACCCUCUUGGGCGGAUGGGCGGCAAGGCUGAAUUGAGAGGG
rnacentral:ribozyme from 1 species